ACUCAUUGUUGAUUUCUUCUCUUAAGCCGGAGCUCGGCUUCAGGAGUACUUUUCAAAAUAUCAUGUAUUUUGCUAACUCUAUAUAACUCCAUGUGUCAUUUCAUCCAGAAAACUUGUUUCUAAUGCUUUUUUCUCUGGACUCUAAGCUGGUUGAUGCCACCAGGCCUUGGGAAAAAGCCUGCCUUCUGAUAGGAUUGCUAUUGAGUAGCAAAAAUUCUUGGAUUCUGAUAACAUCUUUCAUGCAGAAACUCAAAGCAUCUCCCAAAUUAUAAGCCCAUUCUUUUACACUGUUCUACACUCUCACACUCUAGGAACAACUCAUUUCAAUCUUGGGACAUUGACCAGAAUUCAGGGAAACUAGCAUGAUCCUUCCAGUCUGACGUUUCAUUCCAUCUACUGUCCAAAGCUGUGUCUACAAGGCAUCACCUAUGAGACAAUAAAACAAACCCUCUGAAAUCAGGAAAUUUGCCAGAAGAUGGCGAGCUGGGAAGAAAUAAAACCAGGAUUUGAGCCAGAAAAAUCACUUUGGCAGCACUGCGGGAAACAUUUGGAAUGUGGCCUCAAGCAGGACUGUUAGGAGAUUGUUGCAAUAGUCCCGCUGAAGUUGACGGUGGAGGUGUAGAUGAGAAGACUCAGCUAACGGAUGGCAGAUUUGAGCUGGUUGAUCUUUUGUUGCAACACAUCAUAGCACUUUCUUCAGAAGCAGCUUUUAUCCUAUAGGAUGAAUAUAAUGACCAACCUACACAUUGGCCACUGUCUCAAAUAUAUAGAAAUGAAUGACCAUGUACUUUUUAAUAUUCAACAGUUUUUUCUUAAUAAAUGUAAUAAAAUUGAA
ensembl:lncRNA novel transcript